rnacentral:rRNA from 1 species
UGAGGAAUAUUGCGCAAUGGGCGAAAGCCUGACGCAGCGACGCCGCGUGGAGGAUGAAGGUCUUCGGAUUGUAAACUCCUGUCUAGUGGGACGAAAGCCGUGGGGGCAAACAACCCUCGCGGUUGACGGUACCGCUGGAGGAAGCCCCGGCUAACUCCGUGCCAGCAGCCGCGGUAAUACGGAGGGGGCCAGCGUUGUUCGGAAUCAUUGGGCGUAAAGGGCGCGUAGGCGGCUACUCAAGUCGGACGUGAAAUCCCCCGGCUCAACCGGGGAACUGCGUCCGAUACUGUGUGGCUCGAGUCCCGGAGAGGGUAGUGGAAUUCCCAGUGUAGCGGUGAAAUGCGUAGAUACUGGGAGGAACACCGGUGGCGAAGGCGGCUACCUGGACGGGUACUGACGCUGAGGCGCGAAAGCCAGGGGAGCAAACAGG